AAAAAUAGUAGAAAAAUCCGUUUUUGUUUGGUAUUCUGUAAGAGAUUUUAUAAUAAAAGGUCAGAUCUGAGGAGGGCAAACCAAAAUGUUUAAUAGACGUUAUUAACCAACGUACUUCUUGUAUAAUGGCUUAUAGAGUAGGAAGAUAAAUUUUUUCUCCCGAAAACUUUAGAGCUAUUUUUUUUAAUAAUAUUAUUGCAGUAAUAUGGAAAAUUAAAAAUAGGCGUGAUAUAUGUUACGAAAAGGUUGAUAUCUGGUUAAGCAGGAAAUGCAUUCAGUGCAGCAGUGAUAAUAAAUUAAUAAUAUUGAGACAGCAAUAUAAUUUUAUCCUUAGUGAAGUAAGAGGGGGUAAGCUUUUUUAUAUCCUAGGAAGAUAGUAAUUAAGUUGAAAUAGAAUUUUUAAUUUUUUAAAAUUUUUCCCAAAUUUUUUUUUUUUUUUUUUUUUUUUUUACUGCUUUUUAAAAAACAAUACUUUUUAUAAAAUUAGUAUAAGAUUAGUAGGAGUGAGUAUACAAGGUCCUGUUAAAAAAUAAUAGGAAUGAAGGAAAUAGAGAGUAUAAAUAAUUUAUCAUUGAGGAACUCGGCAAAUUGUCCCCCCGCCUGUUUAACAAAAACAUGUCUCUCCGGAAAUUUACAUGGAGAGUCGGCCCUGCCCGGUGAUAAUUUAAGUAAACGGUCGCAAUGAAGAGUUGUGCUAAGGUAGCGCAAUAAAUUGUCCUUUAAUUGGGGAAAUGAAUGAAAGGGUUGACGAGGGGGAAGCUAUCUUUUUGGUAUAGUUUGAAGUUUUCUUUUAUGUGAAAAGACUUAGAUUUUAUAAUUAGAAGAGAAGACCCCGGCGAGCUUGUUAAGGGUUACUAAGUUGAGGUAAUUAUUGAUUUUUGUUGGGGCAACGCAAAGGGAAAAGAACUCCUUUGAGUUUUAUAGGGAUCCACUUAGAGUGAACAAAGCAAAAGCUACCGCGGGGAUAACAGCGCAAUUUCUUCAGAGAGCUCAUAUCGAAGAGGAAGGUUGCGACCUCGAUGUUGGAUUAAGAUUUCCUUUUGGUGCAGGAGUUAAAAAGGUAGGACUGUUCGUCCUUUAAAAUCUUACAUGAUCUGAGUUCAGACCGGCGUGAGCUAGGUCGGUUUCUAUCUAUUAAGUACAAUUCGUCGU
rnacentral:rRNA from 1 species